rnacentral:lncRNA from 1 species
CGAUGGGAAGAUGGUUUUCUGCUGCGAACUACCUUCGCUCUUUUUCUCGACUCCACAGCGAGCCUGCUAGGUUUGCAAAGCCAGAGCUAGAAGAGUGCUCAUUAAUUCAGCUUCAUGAAGGGGAACAGGUGAUAUUUCCCCCAAUGGAGACUGGUGACUCAGUCAUGCAUCAGCUUUCAAAUGAACUUCCCUCCUUAGAGUUUCUUGGAAAUGUCCCAUGCAGUUUCAAUUAAUUUUACUUCUUUUUUGGCUACUUCGGGCAGAAGGAGAAGAGAAUGAUGCAGAAAAAAAGAGAACAGAUUUUCUUAACAGUUUAUCAAAAUUGUUUGGCCUCACGCGGUUUUUCUGCUGCCCUUUCUGCUGUGUCUAUUGACCUCCAACUUGCUAUGUAGCCAAGGCUAACCUUGGACUCCUGCUCUUCUUGCCUCCACCACCAGACAUUGGAAUUGCAGGUUUGAGCCACCACGGCUGGCCCAAAUGCUUCUACAGAACACACUGAAAAGACUUUGGGUCAAUGUGAAAUGUCACCUUCAAGCCAGAAUUUUCUAUCUGGAGGUCUUCCCCUUGGUUAACUAUGCUGGGCACAGAUGGACAGACAGAAUACAUGUGGCUUAGUCUAUCAAGAACAAACCAAUGAUCGCUUCCCAUGUUCCUUAGUAAGAACAGAAAUGGAGAUCCCUUUAGAAAACCAGCGGAUAAAUUUCUCCAUUAAUUCAUCUAGCCAUAUAUCCAUAUCAAACUACAACAUAAUUCUCCAACUACAAAAAAAAAAAAAAAAA